UCGUGUUUUCUCCUGUCUGGCCCUUGGCGGUUUCCAGGCUUAAUCUCCUGUGAUCCCUGGACUAGAGUGUAGACGCUGCUGCUUCCGGGCUUCCAACUCAGUAGCCCGCGAACACUUUAGAGGCCGAGGAGAAAACAAGAAAAACUCCAGGGCGAUGGAACUGCUGGACAAGGUUCACAGAAAAGCCUGUCGGUUGUUUGGACAGGCAGCACAAGUCCAAAGCAGGGAGCAGGUACCCUUGUUAGCUCACACUCCAGUCAGAGGUGAGGGGGCGAAUUAUUCAGGACAAGGAGCAGUUUAUUUUCAUUCGUUAUUUAGAAUCACCAUAAGUCUGCAAACACUUUCCCCUGAAAGAGGUGAGCUGAAAUUAAAGGCUUUCUGUCUACCACUCUCUACAGAGUCGGACCAUGGGGGGUGGAGGGGUGUUUUAUGUUUGUUCUUCCCAGGAAGUGCCAUGGACCGCAGGGCAGUCUACACUGCUGUGUGGUGGUGUCCUUUGAUCUUUUACGUUUCUGGAAGCUCUGAGCUGUGUGCUUUAAAAUACCAACAAAAAACAAAGUUUAAAUUCUAAGAAUACUGCCUUAAAUGAAAUCCAGUGUGCCGCUGUUUUUCAUCUAAGUUCACAACAGAAUUCCUUAGGCAGAAUCCUUGCGAUACACUCAGUGUAGUGCCAAACCUAAUCUAAGCACAGCUUGAAACACCUUUUCAAUUUUUCCAUAAGGAAAAUAGAAGAAUCGCUUGUUUGUAAUUAGUAAUUUUCGGCUUCCAGAAGGAGACCACACUCUUUCCAAGGUGCACUUUCAAUCCGCCUCACUGGAGGUAAACACAAAUAGCUCCUCAUUGUUUCAGGGGCAAGUUGUGCUAAAGAAAAGAAAGAAUAAAGAACGCUUUCAAGAAUAUUUGGUUUCCAAAGGCAUGUGUGAACACAGUAAAACCCACAUAUGCAGGGAUGUGACCACAGAAUGUAAGACAUGGAGCUUACUGAUCAAAGGAUACCGAUUUCCAACUGGAAUAAGAAAUUCAAGAGUACUACCUGGCGACUAUAGGUCAGAAGCUGAACUCAUUCAUCGGUUAUCCCUUGUACAAAUCACACUGCCUGACACGUGGCAGGUGCUCAACAGACAUAUACUGUGGCGGUGCACACCUAUAAUCUCAGCGUUUGGAGGUGGAGACGGGAAGAUCAGGAGUUGGAGUCCAGUCCCAGCUACACAGGGGAGAUGUUCAUAAGAUCCAAGAGAACACGGGACUGCACACAGCCCCUCUCCAAGGUUGCGUGAACAGGAGCGAUUGCUGGGAGAAAGAAAACUCUCCUGCUGGUGGCACAGCCUGCAAGUUGGGCAGAGAGCAUCAGGGAUGCAGCUUUCUUAAGUCAUCAUCCAUGCGUGCUGCAAUGAAUGUUUCAGUGAUGCAAUCACCUUUGAGUUACUCAUGGAGUAUUCAUGCAACCCCUUGCUCAUGCUCCUAUAAGUAACCACAAUAGACUCUCCAGUUUCCUAGACUAGACUUGGGUGGUAUCAUUUCUUUGGUCCUGUCAUUGGUGUCUGCUCUGUGAUAAAUAAAUAUUGUUCAUGUCUCUCUAUUAAAAGUAAC